CUCUGAGCCUCGCAGGGACUCUGCCUUGAUCACAGCGCCAGGGCCUUUUCUGGCUUCUCAGCAGUCUGUGUGAACCUUCAGAUGGGGUGGGCACACGUGGCACCCCCAGCCAAGCAGGGGACGGGCCGGACUCGGUCCUCCAGUGUCACCUCUCCCUCCUGCCACUGGAACCGAGGCUUAGAAUCACUGAGGCGGUGGGAACAUAGCUGUGGGCACAAGAGUGGACAUUUCUACGGCGUUCCCUGCUGACCAGGCGCUGUUCUCACGUGCCUCACAGCACACAUUAACUCAUCUUCCCCGCAACCAGCCCUGGAGGGCAGGGACUGUGAUUUUCCCCAUUUUACAGAUGAAGAAACAGAAGCAGAAAUGUUUAAACUUAUGGGAAGAUACACCACUAACAAGGGCUGGAGCCAGGACUCUAGCCAUGCAGUGUGGCUGCAGAGUACAGGAUUUUAAUCACCCGUUGCAUCCUCUGGCGUCGGGCAGGGCUGGACUUCAGGCUGGGUUUUCCCCGUUCCCAGCUGCACCCACGUCGUGUCUCCUCCUGGAGUCUAAGUUUCCUGUGCUGUGACUGCAGGCGGAGAGGAGGGCCCAACGUCUAGGGGAUUUCAUGCUGCAUCUAGAAGCCAAAACGCUGACACCCCUUGAAAAGGAGGGCUGGGAACUGAGAUGAUUGACGCCCCAAGGGGAAGCGGGCGCUUCCCAGAACAGCCUCGGCAUGACCUGGACAUGGAGCCAGGCGGCUGCUCCUUGCCCAACCCAUGGGGGCCUUGCAAUGAUUAAUAAUAAUAAUGAUGAUGAUAAUGGUGCCAGCAGCAGCCGUGGCUCCCUUUGGAAGUGCUCCCGGGGGGCAGGCAACAUCUCACGCAUUCUCGCAAUAAUCCUGCCAGGGAGCUGCUAGUGUAGCCCCAUUGCAGGGCUGGGGAAACCAAGGCUCCGAAGGGUCAAUGACUUGCCCAGUGUCAUGCCAGGAGCCAGUGGUAUGUUCCUGCUGGGAUUGGACAAGCGCCUGAGAUCCUGAGCAGGGGGCAGAGUUCAGGGGGCGGUCGGGGGGUCAUCUCAGUGAAUGGCAACAAUGAGUGAGUAAGCGAGCCUGUUAGCAAGUGAAUGAAUGAGUGAACGAAUAAAAAGGCUGUUUAAGGAAUUCUGCCCCUGGGGAGGCAUGAAAGGGCCACAGGUCUCUCCCUAGUUGCCUCCCCCCGCCACCUCCAGGGAGACCCCUGAGAUUAAUGGGCCACAGACAAAGGCCCAAGUCUCACCUGCCCAGAAACAAGGACCCCUCACUUCCCGGGUUCCAGGGGUCCCCUGUCUCGUCCAACACCCCGCUAGGGCACAGGGCACUGCACACGGGAGGCCCCUGAGAAACAGCAGCGUCACUGAGCAGUGCCCUCUGGCCUGCGCCCCCCCACCUUCAUCCCAGCCAUCCCCAAAUGCCACAAGGGUAGAUCACCUGCCCUAGUCCCCACCACCACCUGCACCCUUGCCCAGGGCUGAAUUCCCACAUAGGAUUGGGGUCUGGGGAGGGGCCAAAAUAAGGGAAAAGCUGAUCUCUCUUUACCCACUCUGCCCCCUCCCGUCCCCUUUGCAGCUCAUAUUGGGGAGUCCCUGGGUUGGGGGUGGCACACACUUGGUUCCUAGGAGCUUGGGCAGUAGGGUACUACUGCCCCUCCAUUCCCCGGAUGCGCAUCCCCCUCCAUUCCCCGGAUUCUUCAUUCAUUCAGCAAAUAUUUAUGGAGCCCCUACUGUGUGCAAGGUGCUGGGCUCAGCCAUUCAUGCACACACAGACCCUUCCUUCUGAUGUCUCUGGUUCCAUUAAGAAGACUGUGUGUCACGUGCCUCCCCACCACGUUCCCAAGGACUGUCCCCACACCAACUCCUGGUGGUCUGUAGCUGUGCCUCCCUCAUCAGACUGGGAUUUCUCCAGGGCAUGGUUGUGACACUGCCAUCAGACUGGCCUGUGCAACCUGCCUUUCCUGAGAAACCUCUCCCUUCACUCCAAGAGCCUCCCUGGAGACGGUUGCCAGAUAAAAUACAGGACGCUCAGUUAAAUUUGAAUCUCAGACAAACAAAGAAUAAUUUUUUAGUAUAAGUAUGUCCCAAAUAUCGCACAAGGUAUACUUAAACUAAAAAUUCUUCCUUGUUUAUCUGAAAUUCAAAUUUAACUGGGCACCGUGGGUUUCUAUUUGCUAAAUCUGGCAACCCUAGACCUGGAGCUCUUUCCUCCUGCUGGAAGUGGGCCUGGCCAGAUGGCCCAGGUCGUGUCUGGACUUGGCUCCUGCCUGCCCAGUUAUAGCUCCUGUUGGUCCCCAGGACUAGUUCCCUCCCUCGCUGGGCCGCACCUGAAACCCCAGCUCCUAGGUGGGCACAGCCGCCCACCACCCAGUGCACAGAGCCCAGCGUAUGGACCCUUAGGAACACUGCAUCCCGCCUCCUGUGUGAUGGGUCCAGGGAGAGAGGGGGAGAGAGCCACAGCUGCAGAGAGGGACCACGAGACUCAGAGACAGAGAGAGGCAGAGACACAGAGAUAAAGGGACACCACAGAGACUGAGCACUGGAGACAGAGGGGGAGACAGCUGAGAGGGAGACAGAGAGCUUCCGGAUCCCUGCCCAGAGCUGCUUCAGGAGACCAGUGAAGCGGGUGGAGGGUCCUGAAAGCCCACUAGGAUUUGCCUGAGUGGAUUGGGGUGGAGGAGAGGUGGGGUCCCUGAGCCCCAACGUUGGGCCCCAGACUGGCCGGCCCUGGGAGGCAGGGGUGGGAGUCCAUUCAGAGGCCGGCCUCAGCCCCAGGGCUCUCCCCUCGCCCUGCCUCCCAGGGGCAAACACAGGGACAUUCAUGGCUUCCCAGAACGGCCUAUGGGGCAGCCAGAGUGGCUUUUAAAAUUAGCCUCGCUAACCAGAUCUGGUUAUUUCAGGAGGCUCCAUCCCCUUGGCAAGGCGGGAGCAGGGAAGAAGGGAGGGACCUCCACAUUCCAGGGUCCCUGGCUGAGCACCCCCUGUGGCCUGAGCAGCAGAGAACGUCCAGCUCCCAGUCCCCUGGCACGGCCGGCCCGGGCCUGCGGUCAUCUCCUUGGCAAAGUUGCCCCAGGGUUGGCCAUGGAGGUCCAAGAACACCCCAGCUGGGGGUGGGUAGGGGAGGACCCCCUUGUAUUGGGCACGGGUUCUGUGCCAGCAGCCAUCCCAGGUACCUUAGAGGCCAAGACAGCCUCUUCAGAGCAAUAGGUAGGGGCCUUGUCCUCAUUCUCCAGGUAAGGAAACAGACUCCUGGAGACAGGAGGCCCCUGCUGUGAGGUAGGGGAGAUGGGGGAGGGCACGUCUUCCAGGCACCCAGGUCCCUCCACGGGAGGCCUCUUCCCUCCUGUGUCUGGAGGAACCCCCCGGCUGCUGUUUCCACUACCAGAGUAAUUUCUAAGCAGAGUCCAGCGCUUCCCGGAGCCUGGUACCCCCCGCCCAAGUUCUAAUUCCAGCCUCGAGUCAGAGUGUCCCGGCUCGCCCUCCCACCUCACAGCCCAGGGUGAGCACAGAGCUGGCGCGGGCACAAGAGAAAUAGCACCGGACACUUUGAUCCCAGAGGCCCGAUCCGUUGCCAGCCUCCCCUGACCCCACCUCGGAGCUUGGAGGGAUGCGGUAGGGUGAAACCCAGCCCCAAGGCCUUCCUUCCCGCAGACGGCCUGGCACCAGCUGGACAGGGAUGGGGCAAAGGCAGGUUCUGCCCACCAAGCUGCCCACCUGCUCUGCCACAGCAGCCCCUGCUGCUCUGUCUCAGCUGUGGGAUAGAGUGGAGUGGGGGUGCAUUGCUAAGUACAGGGAGACAAGCCGGAGACCUCCCCCAGCUCUGUUAUGGCAGCAUCGUCACCCCAGGUAAACCUGGCAAGCUGAGGCCCAGGGAAGCACCUGACGCCGUCCAUUCCCAAAGCCUCACAUCUAGGCACCUGUGCUGGGCCCAGUGGCAGGUGGGCGUCCUCCACGCACUGAGCGGACCCCACGUGUUCUGAAUUACGGACGUCAUUGAUCCCUUCCUGCGGUAUGCACACUCUCUUCUUUGAGCCCACCACGUGCUGGGGCUGCACCCAGAACUUUAUGAGGUGUCACCUCAUUUAAUCCUCAUGCCAGGGUGCCAGCGAGGGCAGGGCUGUUAGCACCCCCACUGCACAGAUGAGGAAACUGAGGCCCAGGGAGCCAAAAUCGUGUCUGCAUGGUCAUAGCGCGAGGAGGCGAAGCAGCUCAGAGCUGAUUCUGAAGAAGCUCUUAACCGUGGUGCUGAACUGUGAUGCCGGCCCUGUGGAGGUGGGGCAGGAGGAGAGAGGGCAGAGGACUGCGGCGGAGGGAUAGGGAGCAGGGGUGCGGCUGAUGGGUGGGCAGUUCACAGGGGACUCACUGGGCCCAGAGCAGCCUAGAGCCAAACCGAGUUGGGUGGGGCUGGGGUUUGGGUGUGAGUCACCACCCAUGGGUGGCCUGAGGCAUCAGAGGGUCACAGAAGGGCCCUGUCGGGAAAAGUGUGGCACUCCCUGGACAAACCCCUGGGGUUCCUUCAGCAUCAUCCUGGGAAGGGGGCAGGGCCAGCAGGGGAUAGGGGGCACUGCCAAGCUGUCAGGGAGGCCAAGGCACGGCUCAUCCCUUCGGGGCCCAAUUUGGUGCCUACUCCCAAAUGUCCCCAAAGCCACCCCGCAGACCUGCUCUCCUCCGUGGUCCUGCCCCAGAGGGAGAGUCCCCUCAUUCACCCAACACCCAGCCUGUACCCCCGGGAGCCACCCGAUUCCCCCCUUAGCCCCACAGCCCAUCAGGCGCUUGGUCCCCCUGCUCAGGCCCACCUGGUGUCCUUCUCAGCGUCCUCCUGGCCACCCUCUUACCCCAGCAACAACCUCGUUGGUCCCCUCCUCCCUCCACUGGUGCAGCCUCCACCAGCAACUACCGCUCCUGCCUGGGGCUCCCCCUGCCCUUGGCGCAGAGCCCUGGCCUCUCCGUCGGGAGUUCAAGGCCACAUUGCCUCUGGCCUCAUCCCUGCCCAUCUCCCUGUCCCCUCCAUUGUCACCUUCCCACCAUUCAGAGCUGGCUGCCACCUUCCUGGUUCCAGGGGUGCUCUGCCUCCCCGCCCUUUACUCGAGGCCCCCUCCUGCAGCGUCCCUCCUCCCUAGGCCUUCUCAGGAACGGGGAGCAACUCCAGGAACUUUCCCUGACGCCUCUCUCCCCAGGCCCUGCUUGUGCACACCUCUCCUGUCCCCGGCUGCCCCUCAUCACCCUUCGUCCUACUGUCCCAGCUGUGAGAUCCUGGUAGAGGGACUUGGACUCAUCCCCGUCUCCUGGGUCCCCAUCGGGUCCCGUAAGUGGUCCCUUGGCGCCGCCUUGUGGCCAUAUCAGGGGAUUCACUGAAUAUGAGAACAGGGAGAAGGAAGUAAUUAAUUGAGCACCUAAUGUGUGCCAGACACUGUGCUGUAUGUUUGAUACGCACCAGCUCAUUGAAUCCUCACAACAAACCCUUGGGAGAAACACUACCACUCCUAUUUUACAAAAGGAAACACUGAGGCUCACGGAAGCUAGUAAGUUUCUCAACGCCACCCACCCAGCUAACAAGAGACGGUCCCAGGACUCAAACCUAGGUCUGCCUGACAGCACAGCCAUGUUCUUCCUGCAGUGGGGAAGGGGCCCAGGAUGCAGGGAAGGACAGCACCCCGGGGAGGAAACCACGGGCGGUGCUCACAGAGCUGGUGGCUUGGCUUUGGAGGUGUCCCCAGGCCCAGCAGCUCUGAUGGGGACAGGCUUGCUCCCUGCCACCUUGACAUCCCUGGACAUCUGUCUGGGGUCAAUCUGGCCACGGUUCACACAAAGCCAGGCCCAACUCUGGGUACAAUAGCGAUAAAUAGAAUUUAUUUUAUACAACUG
rnacentral:lncRNA from 1 species